rnacentral:rRNA from 1 species
AUUGAACGCUGGCGGCAGGCCUAACACAUGCAAGUCGAGCGGCAGCGGAAAGUAGCUUGCUACUUUGCCGGCGAGCGGCGGACGGGUGAGUAAUGUCUGGGAAACUGCCUGAUGGAGGGGGAUAACUACUGGAAACGGUAGCUAAUACCGCAUGACCUCGAAAGAGCAAAGUGGGGGAUCUUCGGACCUCACGCCAUCGGAUGUGCCCAGAUGGGAUUAGCUAGUAGGUGAGGUAAUGGCUCACCUAGGCGACGAUCCCUAGCUGGUCUGAGAGGAUGACCAGCCACACUGGAACUGAGACACGGUCCAGACUCCUACGGGAGGCAGCAGUGGGGAAUAUUGCACAAUGGGCGCAAGCCUGAUGCAGCCAUGCCGCGUGUGUGAAGAAGGCCUUAGGGUUGUAAAGCACUUUCAGCGAGGAGGAAGGCACCAUACUUAAUACGUGUGGUGAUUGACGUUACUCGCAGAAGAAGCACCGGCUAACUCCGUGCCAGCAGCCGCGGUAAUACGGAGGGUGCAAGCGUUAAUCGGAAUUACUGGGCGUAAAGCGCACGCAGGCGGUUUGUUAAGUCAGAUGUGAAAUCCCCGCGCUUAACGUGGGAACUGCAUUUGAAACUGGCAAGCUAGAGUCUUGUAGAGGGGGGUAGAACUCCAGGUGUAGCGGUGAAAUGCGUAGAGAUCUGGAGGAAUACCGGUGGCGAAGGCGGCCCCCUGGACAAAGACUGACGCUCAGGUGCGAAAGCGUGGGGAGCAAACAGG